CAGAUCUGAGCGAUAGAAGGGCCUUGGGCGUGGGGGGAGAACAUGGCGGCGAUGGGGUUGGAAGGGCCUUGGGUGUGGGGGGAUCCCAUCGCGGGCGGCGACGAGGCGAAGAUGGCAAGGCUCCGCGAGAUCUAUCGGCGAUACAUGGAUGCGGAGGGGAUGCGUCAAGUAUCACGUCGGGUGGUUGAAGAUGCCUCGGGGGAGGAGCGGAGUCGGAUCUUAGGGAAGGCCCCACUCGAAAUCCUCUAUUGGGCGGUGAUGGAGGCGGAGUCCGGCGAUCCGAUGCGGCGCGAGCAGUGGCACCACUACUUGUCGUACGAUUGGGUUUCGUCCGAUCCAAUCUGGGAUAAUGUGCGGGUGGUGACCAUGACUGGGAGGUCACCGCCACGCAGUCCGACGAUGCCCGUCCCGACUGACAACGACGUGCGGGUGUUACCGAGUCAAAAUGUUGCCCAGGUGGUUUCACAGCUGCCUCGUCGCUCACCUCGGUUUCCCCGGCGUUCUGCGCGGAUCCAGGCACUUGCACAGAGCGCCGCCGAUGAGUAGGCGCCUUCUCGGCUGGUAGCCGAUUCUGGCUGCUGGCCGGGGAGGAGUCCGACGAUGAGGACUCCUGCGACCGUUUUGUUGCUUCGUUUUCGAGUUGAUAUUUCGGUGGAUAACAAAUUAGGCAAUUUUGCGGAUAAAGAAGGGAAAUCAAAGAGUGUUGACGCUGGGAGCAAAAGUCAUGGAGCAGGUGGCGGGUGAAGCAUACAGUGCAUCGCAGGGGUGGCGUCGUCCGGGGGUUCCAAGGAUCAGUGGCUAAACUUCCUCGGCUGGCUACGUCCCUGGCAUGGUGCACAGCUCCUAUGUCGGCCUUGCUUCUGGAUGUGUUGAAUCUUCUUUAAUGAUCCAUUUAUCAGACUGAGUUUUGUCACCGUUCUUUGGUUAAACUGUUGUGCGAUUUUGGUGUGUAAUAAUAAAUUGGAGUUUGGGGAUU